AGUGUUUAGCUCAGGUGUGAGACUGAGAGAAUUUGUAAGAUUGUGCUUCCACUCUACUGUUCUAUACUCAUUGUGUGACUUUAAGCAAACAUUUUACAGAUUCAGUCAUUAGCCUCCAAAUAAGCAAGUGAAUUGUUAAUCUUUGACUAUAUUUGGAUAACUCAUGUUAAUUCUGUUUCGUAUUUUGCAACUUCAUGGUUUCAGUUCAUUGGGAUUAACCUUUUAUAAUCUUUGUUUUCUCCAAUCACAGUCCUUUCGCGCCAGAACAGGAAAGGCCUUGGCUCAGAAUCAAGAAGAUGCUGAUUCCAAAGUGGUUAUCAAGCAAGUAUAUGGGUAGCUAUUCUUUUAUUGGUAGUUUUUUUUUUUCACCAUUGAUUGUUUUGAUACUUGGGUGGCUAGUAUGAAUGGAAUCUAUUUAUAUAUAUAUAUGUAUGUAUAUAAAUGAGGUUUUAUUUUUUCAAAUAUAUUUUUUAUUGCUCUAAAUUUUUGUUGAAUUUCUGUAAAUUUUUUGUUUUUCCCUUCUGAUUAUCCCAGUCCAGUCCACCUUCUCCAGAGUCACUAAUAUGUAACUAUUGGUAAAUGCUCUGCAGGUGUUCGAUUAAAUAAUUCUAAGAAAAUAUAGAAUCUACAAUGCUUUGUUUUAUUCUUUAUAAGCCUUAAAAUCUUCCAGAUUGUUUUGAUAACCAAAGAAUCAACUUGUUUCUUAAAUUGGAUUUAUUGUUUCUACACCUUAUAGAAUCUAUUUUGGUAGCUAGGUUGUACUACUCUAGACCAAUUAUAUGCGGGAACAACAAUCAGACCUCUAUUCAUGAUAUUCCUUUUAUUAUUCAUCCUCAUUAUUGUUUACAAGGUUUAUCUUCAAUUCCCAUUUAUCUUAUCAUAUAUUUUUUUAAAAAGAAAAAUUAAAUCAGUACUUGCAUCAUGGAAUCAUUUUCUUAAGCUUUGCUAAAUUUGAUCUCUAAGCUUGGCAUGAUGAGCAUUAGCAAAUGAAAAGUUCCAAUAACUCUUAUUGAUCUUGAUUUUGUUAACACUUUUUUAGAGUUAUCAUGAAGUUUUUUUUUUUUUUUUUGAAGUAUACAAUCACAGGUGAAAAUAAUUAGAGGCGUAAUCUCAGUAGAAUGUAAGAAUGAGCAAUAUGAAUGUAUGCUACUUCAUGGAAACUUGGAGUAAACUUAUUACUUUUUAUUUCUAUUUUCAUUUUGCUCUUUAUUUUUAUUAUAGCUAUUGGUUCGGUGCCUUGGGUCACAAACAGAUGAACUCUAUGUUGUGGUAGUUUUUACUUCAGUUGUUUUUCAGGUAGUCUAGAUUAAAGGUGCUUUGUUAAUAAGUGGAAAUGAAUAAGAAUAUGUAUAACUUUGUCAAUAAACUAUUUUCUCGUGGAGGAAUAUCAUGGGUUUAGCAUAGACUACAUAUAUUGUGCCACAUGUUAAUACAGUAGCCUUUAGUUGACUGACCUGACCAGUAAGCUACACAUAGUUUUUUUUUCAGUGUUUCCUCAUCCCAUUUUUGCAGUUAAGUUGCUCUGUAGGUUUCUGUUAUGGUUUUUGAUUUUUUGCAGUGCUUUAAUUAUGCACUUUGGCAUUGUUUGGGGAUACUAGUGACUCAAUGAAGAACCCCUUGUAACCAGUUAGUGUUGGUAAAGACUUGCUUUUUAAAGUUUGAUUAUGUCUUUGCAUUUUCAUCUUAAAAACUAUUUAGAGUUGCUUCUUAGAACAUGAUGAUACAUUUGUGGUAAUAAUCUCAUUAUGUUCUUUUUCUUAGUAAAUUCUUUUCUCUUUUGUUUUUCUCUUCAAAUUCUAUAAAUGAAUUAUAGACUUGUACAUAAUUUGAUUUUGAUCAAAAUUAUGCUCAAUCUGUUUGAUCAAAUGCUUACAUGGAAAUUAUGAGUAAGUCCUUUUUUUUUAUCAUUAUGACUCUUCAUAUAUCUUUCCAGUUAUGAAAGUGGUAAUUAAUUUUAUAUUUAUUUAUUUGUCUAAUAUUAUCUUUAUUAUUUAUAUUUUUGAAAUAAAUUUGAGAGUGAUCUGACUUUUUAAGAAAACCACAGAAAUGUGAUAUUUGGAAGGUCUCUAAGUUGCACAGGGGCCACUGACUAGAUGUUCUUUCUUCUACACUUGUCAUUGCAUUAUUUCGGUAUGCAUUUUGCAUAAAUGGUUGAUAAGAAAACACUUUGAUACAUCUUUUCAUGCCACCAGGAUUAUGGAAAAUGCCCAAUAACAGGUGAACCCCUUACUAUGGACGAUAUUGUUCCUGUUAAAACUGGAAAGAUAGUUCGGCCAAGGCCUGUACAAGCUGCUAGCAUCCCUGGAAUGCUUGGAAUGUUCCAGACUGUAUGUAGUUUUACUCAUAAGAAUUACUAUCUUUUACUCCAUUUAAUGUAGAAUAAUGCUUGCUAAAAACAUAACUUUUUUUGCUGGACUCAGUGGAUGAUCAAUUUUCAUUUAUUUUUUGCUUACUGGCACUCCAAUCCAAAAUAAUAUGGCAGAGUUGUGGGCCUUACUACAUUUCAUUAUGCCAACCUUAUUUGAUAGUCAUGAACAGUUUAAUGAGUGGUUUUCUAAAGGAAUUGAGAGCCAUGCAGAACAUGGUGGUACUUUGAAUGAGCACCAGCUUAACCGAUUGGUAAGCAUCUUUUAUGCAACAUUAUUUUUAUUUGAAACAAAACAGUACUACUUGUAUUACUGAUGGAGAAAAAUAAUACAAAGAGUGACUUAGGGUAUAGGAGCAAGAUAUUGAGA